rnacentral:rRNA from 2 species
UGACGGAGCACGCCGCGUGAGUGAUGAAGGUUUUCGGAUCGUAAAGCUCUGUUGUUAGGGAAGAACAAGUGCCGUUCAAAUAGGGCGGCACCUUGACGGUACCUAACCAGAAAGCCACGGCUAACUACGUGCCAGCAGCCGCGGUAAUACGUAGGUGGCAAGCGUUGUCCGGAAUUAUUGGGCGUAAAGGGCUCGCAGGCGGUUUCUUAAGUCUGAUGUGAAAGCCCCCGGCUCAACCGGGGAGGGUCAUUGGAAACUGGGGAACUUGAGUGCAGAAGAGGAGAGUGGAAUUCCACGUGUAGCGGUGAAAUGCGUAGAGAUGUGGAGGAACACCAGUGGCGAAGGCGACUCUCUGGUCUGUAACUGACGCUGAGGAGCGAAAGCGUGGGGAGCGAACAGGAUUAGAUACCCUGGUAGUCCACGCCGUAAACGAUGAGUGCUAAGUGUUAGGGGGUUUCCGCCCCUUAGUGCUGCAGCUAACGCAUUAAGCACUCCGCCUGGGGAGA